GCAGAAGAUCUUGCCAGAAGACUGAGAACCCAGGCUUCCAAGAUGGCCACAGCUGCACCAAAGAUCACAAGGGGGAGUCUGCACUGAGAGACGCCAAGGAAUAGGAAGCCAGAGAAGAGAGACUGACAUAAAAGAGGAUGGCUUCAAGAUGGGCGAGACCAACCUGUUACAUGAGCUGUGAGCGGCGAGGACAGUUCCUCCACAGUUUCAAACAGUUUCUUGUAACCACCAGCAGGAUGCUCAACCCUGAAAUGGUGGAAGAAUAAGGAAGAAGCCCAUGUUGAUGCUCAAAGUCCGCAGAGAUAGAGGCAGAGCUGCAGGAGAGAAGGCACUCUAGGGCUGGCUCAAAGCCUGUUCACUCCUGCCGGUCUAGUCUCAGCUGGGUGGGGGUGGGGGUGGGGGGAGAAGCGAAGGUGAGGGCGGGAGGAGCACGUGAGGCUGGGGGUGGGGAAGACUACUCAGGUAUGGAAGGGGGUCCCAGAUCACUGCUCUGAUGUCAAGAGACAUGACCUCUCUUUUAAUGUCAAUGGUUACAGUGAACUUAAUCCUGUCCUCUGCAGUUUUUCCUUACUUCGGAAGACAAAUCAAUCAAUCCUACUGCCAUCAGUUCACUUCCUGAAAUUUGUUCCUAAACAGGGUCCUUCCCACAGUAUUCUCCCACCCUAUCAACAUGCUCAGCUCACAGCAUCAUUGAUUUUCUUGCCUCAAGGAGAGACCCAUUUAUCUCCUUCCUAGGGGUUGAGAGAUGACAGCUUUUUGGGUCAGGUACCUCAUCUUUCAUUAUUCACUCAUAUUAUACCAUAAUUUUUUCCCCAUCAUCUCAUUUCUCUACCAAUCCCCAAGACCUACAGUACUUUUUCAUCAUAGUCAGACCAGGAGAUUCAGGUUCUAUAUUUUUGUUUACUUUCUACAUCCUCUGUUCAGUUUCAUGUUGUAACUUCAAAGAGUGGAAUCUCUGACCAGACUCAAUUAUAAUAAUUACCUUUUACUAAACAAUUACUAUGUCCUACAUACCAUAAAAAGAACUUUGCAUGGUAUUAUCUCUUUUAAAUCUCACAGUAACAUAAUGGAGUAAAAGCUAUUGUGACAUCUUUCUAUAUACAGGAAAAGCUAGACUUAAAAAGUUAGGUAAUUUGUCCAAAGUCACACACUAGGAAAUGACUGGGCAAGGAGUGGAGCCCAAGUCUGUCUGAAAUCCCCAUACUCAAGACUGCUUCCAAACCCCGGGCUAAGUCACACAAACCCCCCAUAAUUUGGACCUGAAUUCUAGCUAGUUGCUUUAAUACAUAAGCAGGAAAAAAUUUCCCCACCAAAAUUCAAGGGUCUUUCCUAAACAGGUCAUUAAUCAAUGCCUUCUCUUCAGGAGCCCUUGAAAUAGCACAUUUAUCAUGAAUCCAUGAAGGUGUUUUAAAAAAGUCUCCCAGAGAUACUUACUGGAUAGACAUUUUCUUCCAGUUCAGGAUCCAGAGUUCUGGCACCAACUGCAGAAUGAAGAAGGAAGUUCUCAGCCAGGGGCCUUUUUAUGCCUUCUAAAUCCCUUAAAAGGAGUUAUGGCUUUGGGAGCCCUUCCCCACCCCUUCAGCUGAGGGAGGGGGAACAGAAGUUGCUUUCAGCUCUCAGAUCCCCCUGAUGCUUGGCUUUAUUUGGGCUUGCUGUUCCCAUAACAGUUGUUUGGCUGUUUUCCAGAGACCUCAAUCCUUCCCAAGGAGAAUGAGAACAGAUUAGAAAGAAAGGAGCUAGGUGGGAGUGGCCAGCGUCAGGCCUGAGCUGAUCCCAGUCACCCCACUGGACCUUGGCACCAUUCUCUGGGGCCCACCUCCCCCUAAUACCUCUGUGCCUUCAUUCUCACCCUCAUUCAUUAACUCACUUAUUUUUAAAAAUAUCUAUUACAUACCACCUAUGAACCAGACAGAGAUGGGUAUUGUCCCUGUCCCUGUCUUCACAGAUCUUAUAACUCUGUAAGAGUUAUAGUAAACAAAGUAUUCAACCAUGUUUGAUUAGUGCUAAGAUUGGAGAAGUAUAAAAUGUUAUGGAAGCACAUUGUGCACCUCUAACCCUCUCUAGCAACCUUAUUGAUACCAUUCAGUGCCAAUAUUCUUCCAACCAGGUUGAGGACUUUUGAUUUGCUGAGAAUGAAAUUCUGCAUAUCUUUGCUUGUCACUAAUGCCUGUCUGCUCUCUGCCUCACCUUCUUGUCCAUUGGUAUAUGUUUGGCACUCUGAGAGUAUACAGCAUCAAUUCAUUCAUAUCUCCAAUACUCUUUCAUUAAGUCUCAGUUGCUUGCCAGCACAGACAAGGUACUGCCCAAAGAAGUCCUUGGAAAACAGGCAAGAUAUAUACUAUACCAGCUAACAACCUUAACAUUUUUUUUGAGAAACUCAUUAACAAUUUUAAAUUUAGUGUGCAGUUAUGGCUACUUACCCUAGGGGUCUUCUUCAACAAAACUGUAUAACAAUUAAUCCAAGUGCUUCCCAAGAUAUACAACAGUAGCUUCAUUUCCUUACAGUGAGGGCAUAGGCAUGUGAUGGGCUCCACCCGUUAGGGACAGUGGUAGAAGUCCUAAUGGUAGCACCUGGGGCUUAGCAUCCAUAAUAUCUCUGCCCAUCCAAGGCAGUUGUAGUGUCUCCAUUCAACAGUGGAGCCCGGAAUAUUGUUACUGGCUGGGUAGCCUCCAAGCUCCAUCCUUUAGCCAUCCCAGAGAUUGUUAGCUCUCUAAUAUUUACAAUAUUUGCGUUCUGCUUUAUUAGAGUUAGUUCCAUUAUUUGCAGCUAAGAGCCCUAUGCCUAUAAAAUGAUGGUAGUAUAAGAUACUACCAUCAUAUUUUGGGGGGUAUAAUCACUUUUGUUGGAUCUUGGAGAGUAAUAGAAGAGGAGAUUAAUAUCUAUCUUUCCACAUUAAAAGACCUGUUUCCAAAAUAUUUCAAAUAAGAAACUUCUCCUCAAAGUACAAGGAUAAUCCAAAUCUUCUUAAACCAGCAAUAAAAGCAUAAAAUUUUUAUUUAGAAUUAAAGCAAAUACUUCUGUAUCACAAACACAAUAUUAAACUUCAAUAAAUAUACCACUAA